rnacentral:rRNA from 1 species
GAUGAACGCUGGCGGCGUGCCUAAUACAUGCAAGUCGAGCGAACAGAUGAGGCGCUUGCUCCUCUGACGUUAGCGGCGGACGGGAGAGUAACACGUGGAUCCCCUACCUAUAAGACUGGGAUCAUCUCGGGAAUCCGGAGCUAAUACCGGAUAAUAUAUUGAACCGUAUGGUUCAAUAGUGAAAGACGGUUGUGCUGUAACUUAUCGCUGCAUCCGCGCCGCAUUAGAUAGUUGUGAAGGUAACGGCCUAUCACGGCAACGAUGCGUAACCGAACGGAGAGGGUGGUCGGCCACCCUGGAACUGAGCCGCGGUCCAGACGCCUACGGGAGGCAGCAGUAGGGAAUCGGCCGCAGUGGGCGGAAGCCUUACGGAACGGCGGCGAGUGAGUGAUGAAGGCCUUCGGAGCGGAAAGCUCGGUUUUUAGGGAAGAACAAAUGUGUAAGGAACCGAACACGGCGUGACGGUACCGAAUCAGAAAGCCACGGCUAACUACGUG